GGUUUGGGUCACCGUCAGAAUGCAGGGUAGAGAUUUAGAGUUAAUAUUUACACAAGGCAAUCCAGGAAGAAGUAGUGACAACUGUGGUUUUUCUGGUGGUUUGAUGAAGGAUAGAUAUUGAAGGCAGCUUAUGGGAAGACUAUCAACGUAAUUCAACUUAAGUGGUGAGAUCUGCAUUAGGUGGUUAAAUAUAACUUGAAUUAACCACUGGAUUUUUUAAAGAAUGCUUUAGGCACACAGAGACUGUACAGAGCAAAAUGAGUUGUUUUGCUUUAGAUAGUGGAAUCGGUAGACUGAAGAGCAGGUAGCUUGGCAUAACCAAGCACAUUCAGUCAGUGCUCUCUCCACCCAUCUCUGCUUGAAGAAGCAUCACAUGCAGACAGCCAUGAAAUUCAACCAGUGUGUGCAACCGCAAGCUCCGGAGAACAGCGACAACAAAGUGUGGAAAUGGCACAUUCAAGACCCAGCCAGCCAGAGACUGACGUGGAACAAGCCUCCCAAAAGUGUCCUUGUCAUCAAGAAGAUCCAGGAUGCCAGUCUACUGCAGCCUUUCAAAGAGCUCUGUGUGUUUCUCACAGAGAAAAGCAUAAUUGUUUACGUGGAGAGGAAGGUUCUGGCGGACCCAGCCAUCCAGGCCGAUGAGAGCUUUGCGGCCAUCAUCCAGAAGUUCUGCACCUUCAGAGAAGAUCUCGAUGACAUUUCCAAUCGAGUGGACUUCAUCAUCUGUCUUGGUGGAGAUGGGACCUUACUUUACGCAUCGUCACUCUUCCAGAAGAGUGUUCCACCUGUUAUGGCCUUCCACCUGGGUUCUCUGGGCUUCCUCACGCCUUUCAACUUUGACACGUACCAGUCUCAGGUCACCCAAAUCAUUGAGGGUAACGCCGCCAUCAUCCUUCGCAGUCGCCUGCGAGUGGUGAAGGAGAGCCGAGAGAAGAAGGCCCGGGUGGAUGAGAAGGGCAUCAUCAUGACCAACGGAGACAGCGAGGGCAGCCGCAAAGCCAUGCAGUACCAGGUGCUGAAUGAGGUGGUGGUGGACAGAGGCCCGUCCUCCUACCUUUCCAACGUGGACCUCUUUUUAGACGGACACCUCAUCACCACGGUACAGGGAGACGGUGUGAUCGUGUCGACUCCCACGGGCAGCACUGCGUACGCGGUAGCAGCCGGAGCCUCCAUGAUCCACCCCAACGUGCCGGCCAUCAUGAUCACCCCCAUCUGCCCCCACUCAUUGUCCUUCAGACCCAUAGUGGUGCCUGCUGGGGUGGAACUCAAGAUCAUGCUGUCACGUGACUCCAGGAAUACGGCCUGGGUGUCAUUCGAUGGGAGGAAGAGACAAGAAAUCUGCCAUGGAGACAAGUGCGUGACCUUUUGACCCCUCAGUCAUGCAACCUCCCCCCUAGUCAAAAUACCACCAAACAAAAGCUGAUAAACAUGGAAUAUAGCCUGCUGAACUCAACCCAAAGCUCAUCUAACUCCCGCAAGCAUUACCAUCACUACUUCCUGCUUCCCCAUUCCCUCCAUCUGUUUCCGGGAUCCCGUGAACGACUGGUUCGAGAGCCUGGCCCAAUGUUUACACUGGAAUGUGAGAAAGAAGCAGAACUACCUUUGCUCCAAGGAGGACGUGUUCUGACGCUAACAACCUCGCCUCCCGGUGACACCAUUCUCAUAGUACACCAUUUUGGUUGCGUUCCAGAUGCAGAGAUUCUGCGCAGUUCUUCAAAAAUCAAAUCCGAUCUUUACAAUACCUGGACAAGUGUUUAACAUACCACGGCAAAAUGAUAUAGCGAUCCUAUAUCUGGAACGCACCCUUUGACUUCAGUUGGAUUCCAACAGGUCAAUUUGCAACCAACAUCCUCCGGAGAUUAAUUUGUUUUGAUUCUAGAUCAUCCCUUACUGUUAAGAAUUUCACACCUUUUUAAAAAGAUUGUUGAAAUGGCCUUUUUAUGCCAACAACCAGAUUGUCUCAUGUCUGACUGAAAGCAAUCCAGGUUAAAGUAAUACUGAGCUACGGAUCAACCCCAAGCUCCUCAACAUAUAACACAGAUAUAAUGACUGUUGUCAGUGGGGACGUUUAUCAAGAACCAAUGUUCUUGGGGAUAUGGAGUUGAAAAUGUAUUUUAUAGUAAUGAUUGACGUUUUGAGACAAUCCCUAAAAUAAAAUGUAUUAUUACUACUUCAGGAAUAGCAGAAAAAUUGCUUCUACUCUGCAAUAAUGAACUAAAUGUAUAGAUUGUGCCUUAAACUGGUAAAUAUUAUAUUAUCAUAAUCAAUUUAGGUUUACAUAACUUUCAUUUUCUUAAAUCGGAUUUACAUCUUAGUGCAGGUGUAACAUAACCAUAUCUUCAGUAUUCCUCAUAUUCAAGCUUCUCAAAUGGCUUGUACAAAUGUUAAGAUACGCAACAUUAAUGUAAGAUUAACUACUCUGUCUACAACAACAACGCUGUGGUGUCUGACCGUGUGUAAUGUCAAAAGAGUAUGGCACAAACAUUAAGAACUGAAGUCCAUUCCAGGUGAGAUGAGACCACAACUCGAUGUCUUCAUAGCCUUUCACUAUAAAGCUAUAGCUCUACUAUGUCAUUCGUUUCAGUCAAGUGGGGUGCACAAGGUGAUUCCAUUGUAAUUCUGUUGUUUACAAUCAAAGCGAUUGUGAGUCUACAGGGUUUUUACCAUCCCAUCUAGUUUUUUUUUUUUUUGCUUUAGACAUGGGAGGCCAGGUAGGUGGAAUUUAGCCCAUCAAUGAUAUUGAAUAAUUAGCUCAGUUGGUAAGGUAAUGAGUAGAUUCUGGUGUAGUGUCUGGAUGGAGCUAAACCCAGCUGGACCAGGGUUGUCAACCCCUGACCUAUGGUGUCUGACUGUUAUUGCUGGGGCGGCAGGGUAACCUAGUGGUUAGAGCUUUGGACUAGUAACCGAAAGGUUGCAAGUUCAAAUCCCCGAGCUGACAAGGUACAAAUCUGUUGUUCUGACCCUGAACAAGGCAGACAUUGAAAAUAAGAAUUUGUUCUUAAGUGACUUGCCUAGUUAAAUAAAGGUAAAAUAAAAAAAUUGCAGUAUGCUGAGAGAUUGAAGGCAUUCAGAUUGCAACACUGCUUAUUGACAAGCUCUGAAAUACCGACUUGACAAAAUGUUAUGGUUUGAGGGUUUUUCUUCUAUCUUACAGACAAAUUAUAGUGUAUGCGUUUACAACAUACAUUAUGUGUGUUGGAUGGCAAGUGAAAUUUCCCCUGAUGGAAAAACUGGUCUAAGCUCUGUGGAUACCAGCACACCACACUCUGCAAGAGGAUUCCUUUUUUUCUAAUUUAUGACACUUGAUAUAUUUAUUAACCAGUUUACACUAUCAUUGCUGAAAUAUACAUCUCUGGUACGUUUUUGUAUAUUGAUAUGUAUAUGAUUAGUACAGUAAGUCAGUUUCACUAUACCUCUUUCAAUGGACUUUGGAGUGGAGUCUUUUCAAGUUAAUGGCAGUCCCUUCAGUUGUUAGGGAGAUAUAGUUUGGAAACAUCUGGAAGAAAUCCAUUUGUCUUUGUAUGCUACUAUACUUUAUUUUUCCAGAGAGAGUACAGUGUAUUCUCUCCUGAAGUAAAGGCAGUUGUGAACUUUGCCUUACACUGAAAUCAUGCAAAUCAUAUAAACUUCCCCCAAUGUGAUAUCUUAGUGGGACCUUUUGGAUGAAGGAUCUUAUUCCUAUUGUUCUUUUUAUGUCAGUUAUUCUUUUAACUUUGUUUUGUAGACUUCUAUAACUCUGAAAGCCUAUCACUUUGUAAAUAUUGUUUCUGAAAUAAAUAUUUUUCCAGAGAACUUUAAUAAACAAAGAGAGCCAA